CCUACGGGAGGCAGCAGUGAGGAAUAUUGGACAAUGGUCGAAAGACUGAUCCAGCCAUGCCGCGUGCAGGAAGACGGCCCUACGGGUUGUAAACUGCUUUUGUUUGGGAAGAAACCUUUCUACGUGUAGAAAGCUGACGGUACCAUACGAAUAAGCACCGGCUAACUCCGUGCCAGCAGCCGCGGUAAUACGGAGGGUGCAAGCGUUAUCCGGAUUUAUUGGGUUUAAAGGGUCCGUAGGCGGACUUAUAAGUCAGUGGUGAAAUCCUGCAGCUCAACUGUAGAACUGCCAUUGAUACUGUAAGUCUUGAAUUCGGUUGAAGUGGGCGGAAUAUGGCAUGUAGCGGUGAAAUGCUUAGAUAUGCCAUAGAACACCGAUUGCGUAGGCAGCUCACUAAGCCUGGAUUGACGCUGAGGGACAAAAGCGUGGGUAGCGAACAGGAUUAGAUACCCUGGUAGUCCACGCCGUAAACCGAUGAUUACUCGACAUUAGCGAUACACGGUUAGUGCCAUAAGCGAAAGCAUUAAGUAAUCACCUGGGAGACGUUCGCAGAAGAGAACGACANAGAGUAGACGCGUAGAGAGAGNGAGAGACGACGAGGGAGGAGG
rnacentral:rRNA from 1 species